GAGACAAGGUCUCUGUUGCCCAGGCUGUAAUGCAGUGGUGUGAUCAGCUCACUGUAGCCUCUACCUCCCCAGCUCAAGCAAUUUUCCCACCUCAGCCUUCGGAGUAGCUGGGACUACAGGGCUUUCAGGAAUGUUGCAAGAUUCAAAGAAGAAGCAACCACAAUUCAAACGUUCUCCCGACCUCUUGUAAAAGCCGGAGAAGCGAGGAAACCCGGCAUUGUUGAGGGUGGGAGAGCGGAGCUGCCAGCUGCUGGUCCCCUGGAGCUGGGGGUGGCGCGGCCGGGGUUUGGGGCGACCCUUUGGAGGAGAUCGCCGGUACCCCAGCGAGGUGUGGAGGAUGAGAGCGCCUUAGGACCACCGCGAACGACCACCCUGAAGAAGUCAGUGGAGGUCGUGACAGACUGCAAGCGAGACCCAUUCCAUUUCCAUCUGUGCUGCAACAGCGGAGAAGGAGAGACGACACACGACCUAGAUCACUCCGGGAGGGAGGGUCUGAAUUAAGGUGAUAGUCCGAGUUUGUGACCUGAGAUUCAUACUACAAACCCCGCGGAGAACAAGGAGGAGGACCGAGAGCUUUUUUCCCGUGCUUAUGAGCUGAAGCCAGGUGUUUGAAGUGUUUGAUCUUCUAGAAAGCACUUGCCCACCUAAAGUAAUUGGGUACAGCUGAGGUUCUCAAACUUGAGCGUGCACCACAAUCACCCGAGGGGUAAUUAAAACCUGGAGUGCACUUUGGGAUGCCGAGGCGGGCGGAUCACGAGGUCAGGAGAUAAAGACCAUCCUUGGCUAACACGGUGAAACCCUGUCUCUACUAAAAAUACAAAAAAUUAGCCGGGCGUGGGGGCGGGCGCCUGUAGUCCCGGCUACUCGGGAGGCUGAGGUAGGAGAAUGGCGUGAACCCGGGAGGCGGAGCUUGCAGUGAGCCGAGAUCGCGCCAUUGCACUCCAGCCUGGGCGACAAAGUGAGACUCCGUCUCAAAAGAAAAACCAAAAACAACAACAACAAAAACACCUGGAGUGCUGGGGACCCCAUUCCCAGAAUUUCUGAUUCAGUGGGCCGGGGUUGGGGCCCGAGAAUGUGCAUCUCUAACAGGUUCUCAAGUGAAGCUGAUGCUGCAAGUCCCGGAACGGUGCUUCGACAACUGGUGAAUGCUAUGCUUUUCAGAUACUUUGAUAUCAAACUUUUGCAUGGCUGCAGCUACCUAAAGUGGUGUGUCAGUUUUACCAGAGGUUACUUUUCACUUAAUAUUGGCUUGGUUUAUUUUCAGGUUUAAGAGUGGAGUGUGUUAUUAAUAGAUCCAUUUACAAGGCUCAUUUGGAGGAAGCUGUUCCAGUGCUUUCACUUACUUUAUAGAUGACCAUAAUUUUUGGAGAUUUCCAUGAUAUAAUUAAAACUAUGUCUUGGUCAUUUGUGUGACCUCUUUCAGUUUAUGAAGUUUUCAUCUAUGUUAUCUUGUUACGGUAUUGCUCUUAAUGUAAAUAUUUUAAAAUAUGCCUUUGUGUCUUUUUAGCAGCACUCCCAUGAGGUAGAGCGAUUGUUUUGCUUUUAUGGUGUUAGUCACAGAUCUAGGCUUAACUUCACGUUGUUUCCCAGUGAGUAUAUGUGCAGGUAACAUCAUAAAUGUUAUAAAAAGGGUGUGGUUACUGAAUAAUGAGAGGAAAACCCAGGCAAUACAAAGGAGUUUUAAUUAUAUGACUCUUUGAGACUUCAAAUACGUAGGCCUGCCCAGCUUGCUUCCUGGGAACCCUCCUUCCUGAUAAGCCUUCAAUUGGAAAGAGAAAGAGGCCUCAGCCAUAAAGGAAAACCUUUUUAGAGGGGUUCUGAGACCUAAAGGUCCAAGUUCCGGCACUCCCUGAAGCCACAAGGUUUCUCUGCCUCAAGGUUUCUCUGAAAUCAGUUAGUGACAAUCGAAGGCAGUCAUGAAGAGGAAAAGUUAAAAAUAUGCAGACUAUGUGGCCCUGGAGAAGAGGAGAGAAGCAUUUUGAUCCAGUUUGCUUCAGUUAUAGGGAAGUUCCCAAGCUAACUAGAUUGGUGGGAUAGCACGUUUUAUUUUAUCUAUACAAUUUUUGUUAUUGUGCUUGAACUUACAUAGUAAAGUGAACAAAUAUUCAGUGUACAACUAAAUGAAUUCUUUAACAUAGAUGUAUUCACAAACAUACAUACUCACACUCACUCUUGUACCCACCUUCCAGAUUAAGAUAAUAGAGCAUUCCCAAAACCACAAAAGGCUGCCUUAUUCCUACUCCCAGCCAAUACCCCAAAAGGUAACAGCUGCUGACUCUCGCCAUUGAAUGGUUUUACCUGUUCUUGAACUUUGUAUAAAUGGAAUCAUACAGUAUGUACUAUUUUGUGUCUGGCUUCUUUCACUCAACACUAUGUCUGUUAGAUUCAUCUACACUGUUGCAUGUAGCAAGAGUUUGUUCUUUUUCACCUCCAACCUGAUCACCCCAUUUCCCCAGCCCCAGGAAACCAUUAAUCCACUUUCUCUCUAUAGAUCUGUCUAUUCUGAAAAUUUCAUAUAAAUGGAAUCACAAUA